rnacentral:rRNA from 1 species
GACGUAGGGCGCAAGCGUUGUCCGGAUUUAUUGGGCGUAAAGAGCUCGUAGGCGGCUUGUUGCGUCGUCCGUGAAAACCCGUGGCUCAACUGCGGGCUUGCGGACGAUACGGGCAGGCUGGAGUUCGGUAGGGGAGACUGGAAUUCCUGGAUGUAGCGGUGAAAUGCGCAGAUAUCAGGAGGAACACCGAUGGCGAAGGCAGGUCUCUGGGCAUUAAACUGACGCU